AGCCUGGAUGGGGUCCCCUCCAUGUGCACGCUGAGAUCUCCCUUCCUGCAUCCCACCAGACCCUGGAGCCAUUGCAAGGCACUGGAAGGAAUCCCAAAGCACAUUGUUGCCAUGAUAAAAGAAUAAGAGGUGAAACUCUA